rnacentral:lncRNA from 1 species
AUGCAUCCAACAUGUACAUUUUCCAGGAACUGCAACUCCACAUUUCAAAAAGUCACAUUUGUAAAAACUUGUCAUUUAUGUGUUAUAACAUUGGAUGCCUGGGGGAAAAUAAGAGGUCACCGUGGCCACCAGAUCCAGUCUGUAUCCAGAUCAGAGGGUCACUGCAGUCACCGGGAUCCAGUAAGAAAGGACCUCUACAUCCCUGAAAGACAGCAGAGACCAGGACACCUAGAGCCCCAGAUACAGAUCCCCUGUAAAGACCUUGUCUCAGAUGACCACCAGGUCAAGACCACAGGAAACAGAUGAUUCUUCUGCACAAUCUGACUUUGCUGCAGCCUGGAAUUGAACUACUGGUUUCGUCUGGUCAGAGGAGAACUGGCCCCCCAACUGAGCCUGGUUUCUCCCAAGGGUUUUUCUCCAUUCUGUCACCGAUGGAGUUUCGGUCUCUUUCCGCUGUCGCCUCUGGCUUGCUUAGUUGGGGUCACUUCAUCUACAGCGAUAUCAUUGACUUGAUUACAAAUAAAUGCACAGACACUAUUUAGAGAUGACAUCACUGAAUUCAAUGAUGAACUGCCUUUAACUGUCAUUUUGCAUUAUUGACACUGUUUUCCUGACACUGUUGUUCAGUUGCUUUGGCGCAAUGUAUUUUGUUUAAAGCACUAUAAAUAAAGGUGACUUGACUUGACUUGACAAGUCUCCUUGCUUCUUCCUCUGGAGAGUAGGCGAAGAGAUGGUCAUGUCACUGAAGGAGAAGAAUCUGAUGAGAUCGCGCUCCAAGCCGACUUACAGGUGCAUCUCAAUAAAUUAGAAUGUCGUGGAAAAUGUAAUUUAUUUCAGUAAUUCAACUAAAAUUGUGAAACUUGUAUUUAAAUUAAUUCAAUUCUGAAUAGUUUAAGUAUUUGGUUCUUUUAAUUAUGAUGAUUUUGGCUAACAUUUAACAAAUACCCACCAAUUCACUAUCUCAAAAAAUUUGAAUAUGGUGAAAUUGACUCUCAGUUUGGUUCACUAGUCUACACAAUCAGAGGAAGACUGCUGAUCUGACAGUUGUCCAGAAGACAAUCAUUGACACUCUUCACCAUGAGAGUUAGCCACAAACAUUCAUUGCCAAAGAUGCUGGCUGUUCACAGAGUGUUGUAUCCAAGCAUGUUAACAGAAAGUUGAGUGGAAGGAAAAAGUGUAGAAGAAAAAGAUGCACAACCAACCGAGAGAACCGCCUUAUGAGGAUUGUCAAGCAAAAUCGAUUCAAGAACUUGAGUGAACUUCACAAGGAAUGAACUGAGGCUGGGGUCAAAGCAUCAAGAGUCACUACACACAGACGUGUAAAAGAAUUUAAUGAACCACGUCAAACGUCAGAGGAGUCUUACCUGGGCUUAGGAGAAGAAGAACUGGACUGUUGCCCAGAGGUCCAAAGUCCUCUUUUCAGAUGAGAGCAAGUUUUGUAUUUUAUUUGGAAACCAAGGUCCUAGAGUCUGGAGGAAGGGUGGAGAAGCUCAUAGCCCAAGUUGCUUGAAGUCCAGUGUUAAGUUUUCACAGUCUGUGAUGAUUUGGGUUGCAUUGUCAUCUGCUUGUGUUGGUCCAUUGAGUUUUUUGAAAACCAAAGUCCCCUUCACCCUUUUUCCAAGAAAGUUUGGAGCACUUCAUGCUUCCUUCUGCUGUCCAGCUUUUUGAAGAUGCUGAUUUCAUUUUCCAGCAGGAUUUGGCACCUGCCCACACUGCCAAAAGCACCAAAAGUUGGUUAAAUGACCAUGGUGUUGUUGUGCUUGACUGACCAGCAAACUCAUUAGACCUGAACCCCAGAGAGAAUCUGUGAUGCCAAAAUCAUCACAAUUAAAAGAACCACAGACUACUUCUACAACUACUUCAGUCUUGUGUGUUAAUUUAUUUAAUACACAAGUUUCACAAUUUGAGUUGAAUUACUGAAAUAAAUGAACUUUUCCACGACAUUCUAAUCUAUUGAGAUGCAUGUGUAUAUAGCAGUCAACUCCACCCUCUCUUGCAGGCUCGAGCUUCACUGUUUUGUGCAGCUACACAAAUGUUAACCAAUCAGGCUUCAGUAAUAGAGUAAACAGGAGUUCCCCAAGCAGUCUUUAAACAAGGAUGCAACGGGAGUUACCUUUCGAUAGGGAAUGGCUAUCAUUAAGAAAUUUCAUUGCAUUUAAAGUUUCUGCUGUUCAAUUAACUAACCUAAAAUGUCCAUGACUUAAACCUUCUUACCCUAAAGAUAAGUUUAGGUUUGCAGUUCAAAAGCUCUGAUCCAGGAUUUGCAAUGUAUGUUAGAUGCCAACUCUGGACUCUACAUGUACACUUAGUGAUCAAAUGGUCUAAAGUGAAUUAGGUGUUCAUAUUAGGAUCCAAGUACUUAUUUUCUACUAGACAGGGUCUCAUAAAACUACAAUUCUUUUCCUUUUGUUUUCCUUCCCUCAGGCAGAAGCAUUUGAUCCUUGUUGUGCCUCUCUUGAUUCACUUAUGUCUUUUUGGUUACACAAAAUACCUUCAGAGGUUACCCCAGGGGUAGAGUUUGAUGGGGAUUCAAAUUUUCUGGUCUCCUCCGGUCAGGAGGGGGUGGUAUUCCUUCCUAAUGACUUAAACAGAUACAGAGUUUCAACUUCUGUAAAAACAAUGGCUGAGCAUUUUAAUGGGAGCUGCUGAAUACAUAUAUUUCGCCUCAUCCUGAGCUUUGCUUUCCUAUUGGAUUUCUCCAUCUCAUGAGUCACAAGGUUGAAUUAUAUCAUCAGCCCUAUUUCUACCGUUACAUCAUACAGAGAGCCUUUUGCAUCAGUUCUGAAGGUAAAUACAAAAGAAUCCAAAGAGCAUGUUAUAAGCAACCAAGACAUUUAAAAGGAUAGUUCAAUCAAAGAUGGACAUUCUGUCAUUAUUUAUAACUCAAGUACCCGUAUGAAUUUCUUUCUUCUGUUGAACACAAAAUAAUGUAUUUUGACGAAUGUUGGUAACCAAACCAACAUUGGUGGUAACCAAUUAAUUAAUUCACACAUAUAUACUGGUAUUUUGCAUUUUUAUUAAAAAAAAAAAAAAAAAAGAGUUGAAUUGAAACAUUUACUAUGUUCCAACAGCAUCUCAUUCCCUUCUUUCAAAUCCUUAAUGUCUUGUUUAUAACCAGGUUUAAACUGAAUCCCAGCUCUUCAGUGUCACUCUUGAGCCCUACUGUACACUGAGGUAAUAUUUGUCUGCUAGCUUCACAGAGUCCAUAUUUUUGUGUCAUGCCGAAAGGAUGUGAUUAAUUAUCUGUCUCCUGGCGAGGAUGUUAGACAGGAGAGUUAAGGGCACUCACGUCUAAUGCACUCUGACUGUACUGUCAACUCUAUGCUUACACACGCUAUCUGGAGGCAACUAGAGCAGGACUCCAAAUGUCAAGCACUGUUAAAGUAACUCUACAUCUAGUGCUGCAGCCAUGCUCUGAAUCCUAAUCUCUUUAUUUAUUUGAUUGGUUUUAUAAAUAGAUUUUGGAACAAGUAAAUUAUGCUCAUCUCUUA